rnacentral:tRNA from 1 species
GCCUUCGUGGUCUAGUUUGGUCAUGACGUUGGUCUCAUAAUCCGAAGGUCUCCAGUUCGAUCCUGGACGAGGGCA